rnacentral:misc_RNA from 1 species
GAUGAAGAACGUAGCGAAAUGCGAUAAGUAGUGUGAAUUGCAGAAUUCAGUGAAUCAUCGAAUCUUUGAACGCACAUUGCGCCCCUUGGUAUUCCAUGGGGCAUGCCUGUUCGAGCGUCAUUUGUACCCUCAAGCUAAGCUUGGUGUUGGGUGUUUGUCCACUCCCUCGUGUUUGGACUCGCCUUAAAACAAUUGGCAGCCAGUGUUUUGGUAUUGAAGCGCAGCUCAAUUUGCGAUUCUAGCCUAGAAUACUAGCAUCCAUCAAGUCAUUUUUAACGCUUGACCUCGGAUCAGGUAGGGAUACCCGCUGAACUUAAGCAUAUCAAUAAGCGGAGGA